AAACUGAGGGGAUGAGCUGUGGAUAGGGGUGAAAGGCCAAUCAAACUUAGAGAUAGCUGGUUCUUCGCGAAAUUUAUUGAGGUAAAGCGUUCAAUUUUGGUCAAAAGGGGUAGAGCACUCAUUAAGCUAUGGGGGCCCAAAGCCUUACUGAUCUUUGUGAAACUCCGAAUACUUUGUGACUUGAAGUUGAAUAGACAGACUUAAAGUGCUAAGGUUUUAAGUCAAAAGGGAAACAGCCCAGAAUUUUUGCUAAGGUCCUUAAACAAUAAGUAAGUGGAUAAAGAAGUUUAUUUCCGACAACAACUAGGAAAUUGGCUUGGAAGCAGCCAUUUUAUGAUGAAAGCGUAAUAGCUCACUAGUCGAGGAAAAAAGCACUGACAAUGUAUCGGGGCUCAACUUAUUUACCGAAGCAAUGUAGAAAGAGGUAGCGAAGCGUUUUGUAAACCGAUGAAGAUGUCUUGUGAAAGAUAUUGGAGGAUUCAAAAGUGAAUAUACUGACAUGAGUAACGAAAAAAUCAUGUGAAAAUCAUGAUCGCCGUAAGUUCAAGGGUUUCUGCGGUCCGCUUCUCGGCGCAGAGUGAAUCGGCUUCUAAAUUUCAUGUGAAA
rnacentral:rRNA from 1 species